rnacentral:lncRNA from 1 species
CCAAGCUGUGAGGAGUCUGUGGGUCAUGGCUUUGGCAGCGUGGAACCUGGGACAUAGAGUCCCCCUUGAUACGGCUGUUCAGCAGACCAACUUUGUUGUAAAUAUUUAGAUAAAAAUGGGCUUUAGAGCAGCCACAUCUGAAGACCCACAAGGCUGAAUGUUACACAGGGGGAGCACCAUUAUUUAAUCUGAACAUCUGGAAUCCAUCAUGUGUAGUGAAGGACAAGAUGUAUCCUCAUUUUUAAGCCAACUCCAUGAUAAAAUUGAUGGAUGGGACCAAUGUGUACAGCAAUCAGAAUCUGAUUGAAGAUAAACUCAUCCUAUUUGGAUCAGAGCAUUAGAAGAAAGAAAGAACUGACACUUCUCAACCUUCUCUAGUUGAAGACUUCUCUUUGCUAUAACUACUUGAAGAGUUCAGCAGAAAAAUUUUACUGAAGAAUCCCUGAUCCUCCUUUAAGUAGCUGUAGAGAAUAUUCACUAAGUGUAAUGGGACACGUCUCUCUCAUGCCCACUUCUUUUCUCUUAUCCCUGCAAGAAAAUGAAGUUUUGUUGGAGUCAGAGGUUUAUUUUAGUUUAUUUUAAUCAGAAACGUGUAUGAAAUCCAAAGCACAUGAUCUUCAUUUUUAAUAACGUAAACCAUCCCCAUGUUUAUGUGCUUUCUCUGGUCCUCAACCUUUUUUUUUCUUUUUAAUUUUAAGAACAUCUGUCCCCACUGCAACUUCACUUUCAUCAGGAAAUCUAAUUACAGAGAUAGAAAAGAGUAUAGUAGGUGAAGCAAAAGACAGCAGCUCCACCUCUUAAUACUGAAUACUUAGAUGACUGCCAGAUGAAUAGCUGGAUCCUUUUGUGGCUAACUAACUCACCUGGUGUAGAGAAAGACAGUUGAUAGAUCAAAAAAGUAUACAGAUAACAGAGAGCAAGUGAUAUGGAUAUGAAAGACAUUAGGGAGCAUACAAAUGCAGUUUGGCCAGGAUUUAUUUCUAGUUAUGGACUGAUGAGGAGACAUGGGGAAAAAUUGUCAAAUUAAAAAAAAUCUUUUUGGCAAAUUUAAACUUUGCCUCUAUCCUUUUUCUCUUAAUCUGCUACCCAGAUAUGCACUUCAAAUAGGAAUGUGGGCCUACUGGGGCAUGAAAUAGUUGAGAGCUAUUCAACAAUGAGGAGAAUGAGAGAAAUCUAUUUAGAAGGACAUUUUAGAAUUUAAGCCAGUUGAACCUUAAUAGUCACAGAUAAUUUAACAUGACCCCUAAACCAUUAGGGGGGUUUUUACUACAAGGACUUGGCUCUGUAUUAACAAUGUCAUCCUUCUUAGAAAUUGAUAACUAUAGAAGUUAUCCUAUGUGGAGUAAGAUAAGAAUGACUGCUCUUCAUGUUUACAAGAGAUUAGAGUGGAUAAGAACCAGGUGAAACAGGAAUCCCAAGGGAUCUCCUUCCUUCUCAGAGUCAUAGCCAUUCCAGGGAAUCUGCACAUUUUCUGGCUUUCCCAUUUCUAUCAGAUGGUUACUUAGGAACAAAUGAAAAUCAGCAAAAGUGCCAUGAUAAUUAUCACAAAUUCGUAUGAAAUAAUGAGGCAGUUGAAUGCAUUUUUUCUGUCUUAUCUCUGUUUGUCAAUGAGCUAAACAGUGUGUUCAGGUCCCUCUGAAUACUUGGAGGAGCAAGAUUCUUUAGCCUUGUCUCACUGAUUCCCAAAGUUUAUCUAAGUCUUUCCAGAGGAGGACCUCUAUUGUCAACACUUGAUAGCCAAACCCUUCCUUUGUUUUUUUCCUUCUAUACACUACUUGUUAAUCAACUUGCACAAAACCAAUUUCUGGUUCAACUUUGUCCUGAGCUGCUAACUGGCUAUGACUUUAUUUUACAGGUGCAGUAACUUUGUUAGCUGUUAUUUUGAGGAGCUCCAGCCAUGGGCUCAUUUGAUAGAUUUAAUUGCCAACAUCUUGAACAAACCCCUUGAUUUUAAAAUUUUAAUUUAGCAUGUUUAACAUGAAAGAGGAUUGCCGAAUAAGUGUCCCAUUUGAUUUACUCUAUAAGUAAUACAGCUGUUUGUCUUUAUUUGAAAAAUAAAGGUAGACACUUAGAAAUGAAAGAUGAAAGCUUGGAAUGUGACCUGUAAGUCCAGAAAUCACAGACCAGAAAGCAAGAAAGGAACAUGAACAGCACAUGUCAAGUAUCCAGGAAUUUCUAAGUAUAAUGCAGAACUUGGGGCAUGAGAAAUAAUCUCUCUCUCUCUGUGCGUGUGUGUGUGUGUGUUUUCUUUAUCUGAGCAUGUUUUUUUAUAUACUGCCUUUUCUGGUAACUUCAUUAGGUCUGUAUAAUUAUAGUUUGCUUCAACCUUAGUCUGCAUCAGUAUUCAUUAUUAUCUAUUUGGUGCAUUGUAGCAGCAUAAAUAUAACUAAAUUACUAGGGUCAAACCAUAAUGGGAGCUGUUGUGAUGGUAAUUAGAGCAGAAAUAUAGUCCUUUUUUGGUAAAACUUGCAGAAUUGUAGCAUGAGGUGUGUUCUUAUAGGGUACAAUUAAAGCCAGGUUGUGGGUUCAAGGUGGUAAAAUGAUGGAUAAUGAAGGUACACCAUUAAUCACAGUUCCAAAAGAUGCUCUGUAUCAAUUCUUUUCUCUCUGAAAGGUAGCUCAGAGGUUGAUGCUAAGACAAAAACCAACAGAGGGCUUAGAGGUAAGAUGCCAACUUCCGUGCCUUCACUAAUUGUCACUAGAAAGCUGAAACUGUAUCGAACUCUUUAAAAGGAAAAAAAGAAACUAGUAGAAAGCAUCUCAGUGUGGUUAUUGAAAUCAUUAAAUUUGAACUUAGUGGAGCAAUGCUUUAAUUCUAUGUGUCUUUGCCAUGUUGGACUGAGUCUCUCACAUAACAUCUUUAGAAUUUAGAAUGUGCUAUAACUUGGAGCGGAAUCACCCUUAUUGUCUUUACACACAGCCCAUAAUCCUGAAAAGCAGAAACAGAAUUCCACUCUUAACCCCCUCAGUUUGCAGAAUGUCUAAGUGUAGUGACUCUAGACUCAAUGUGAGGUAUGUGGAAAUGCUUCAGAAGAGAACAAGGCCUCGGCUGGGCGCAGUGGCUCACGCCUGUAAUCCCAGCACUUUGG